rnacentral:misc_RNA from 1 species
GAUGAAGAACGCAGCGAAAUGCGAUACUUGGUGUGAAUUGCAGAAUCCCGUGAACCAUCGAGUCUUUGAACGCAAGUUGUGCCCGAAGCCAUUAGGCCGAGGGCACGCCUGCCUGGGCGUCACACGUCGUUGCCCCCCCAUCUACUCCUUCGGGAUUGCGGGGGGCGGAUGAUGGCCUCUCGUGCGCCUCGUCGCGCGGUUGGCCUAAAUGCCAAGUCCUCGGCGACGCACGCCACGACAAUCGGUGGUUGCGAAACCUCGGUUGCCUGUCGUGUGCGGUCGUCGCGCAUCGAGGGCUCGAAAAAAUUGCCGGGCUUCGGCUCGACUUUCAACGUGACCCCAGGUCAGGCGGGGUUACCCGCUGAAUUUAAGCAUAUCAAUAAGCGGAGGA